rnacentral:rRNA from 1 species
GAUGAACGCUGGCGGCGUGCCUAAUACAUGCAAGUCGAGCGAACGGACGAGAAGCUUGCUUCUCUGAUGUUAGCGGCGGACGGGUGAGUAACACGUGGAUAACCUACCUAUAAGACUGGGAUAACUUCGGGAAACCGGAGCUAAUACCGGAUAAUAUUUUGAACCGCAUGGUUCAAAAGUGAAAGACGGUUUUGCUGUCACUUAUAGAUGGAUCCGCGCUGCAUUAGCUAGUUGGUAAGGUAACGGCUUACCAAGGCAACGAUGCAUAGCCGACCUGAGAGGGUGAUCGGCCACACUGGAACUGAGACACGGUCCAGACUCCUACGGGAGGCAGCAGUAGGGAAUCUUCCGCAAUGGGCGAAAGCCUGACGGAGCAACGCCGCGUGAGUGAUGAAGGUCUUCGGAUCGUAAAACUCUGUUAUUAGGGAAGAACAUAUGUGUAAGUAACUGUGCACAUCUUGACGGUACCUAAUCAGAAAGCCACGGCUAACUACGUG